UACAGAGGUCCCGAGCGUUGUUCGGAUUCACUGGGCGUAAAGGGUGCGUAGGUGGCGAGGUAAGUCGGAUGUGAAAGCUCGGAGCUCAACUCCGAAAUGGCAUUGGAAACUACCUUGCUCGAGGGUUGGAGGGGGGACUGGAAUACUUGGUGUAGCAGUGAAAUGCGUAGAUAUCAAGUGGAACACCAGUGGCGAAGGCGAGUCCCUGGAAAACACCUGACACUGAGGCACGAAAGCUAGGGGAGCAAACAGG
rnacentral:rRNA from 1 species